rnacentral:rRNA from 1 species
GACGAACGCUGGCGGCGUGCUUAACACAUGCAAGUCGAACGGAAAGGCCCUGCUUUUGUGGGGUGCUCGAGUGGCGAACGGGUGAGUAACACGUGAGUAACCUGCCCUUGACUUUGGGAUAACUUCAGGAAACUGGGGCUAAUACCGGAUAGGGGCUCCUGCUGCAUGGUGGGGGUUGGAAAGUUUCGGCGGUUGGGGAUGGACUCGCGGCUUAUCAGCUUGUUGGUGGGGUAGUGGCUUACCAAGGCUUUGACGGGUAGCCGGCCUGAGAGGGUGACCGGCCACAUUGGGACUGAGAUACGGCCCAGACUCCUACGGGAGGCAGCAGUGGGGAAUAUUGCGCAAUGGGCGGAAGCCUGAUGCAGCAACGCCGCGUGCGGGAUGACGGCCUUCGGGUUGUAAACCGCUUUCGCCUGUGACGAAGCGUGAGUGACGGUAAUGGGUAAAGAAGCACCGGCUAACUACGUG